rnacentral:rRNA from 1 species
AGGGUUCGAUUCUGGCUCAGGAUGAACGCUAGCUACAGGCUUAACACAUGCAAGUCGAGGGGCAUCAUUCGAAAGCUUGCUUUGAAGAUGGCGACCGGCGCACGGGUGAGUAACGCGUAUCCAACCUUCCCCUUAGUAGGGCAUAGCCCGGCGAAAGUCGGAUUAAUACCCUAUGUUCUUUACGGAUGGCAUCUGAAGUAAAGCAAAGAUUUAUCGCUAAGGGAUGGGGAUGCGUCUGAUUAGGUUGUUGGCGGGGUAACGGCCCACCAAGCCUACGAUCAGUAGGGGUUCUGAGAGGAAGGUCCCCCACAUUGGUACUGAGACACGGACCAAACUCCUACGGGAGGCAGCAGUGAGGAAUAUUGGUCAAUGGGCGAGAGCCUGAACCAGCCAAGUAGCCGUGCAGGAUGACGGCCCUAUGGGUUGUAAACUGCUUUUGUCAGGGGAUAAAAAGGAAACGUGUUUCCUAUUGCAUGUACCUGAAGAAUAAGGACCGGCUAAUUCCGUGCCAGCCGCCGC